AAAGAUGGUUGCUUUCAUGUAAAUGUAUUGAUAUAUGUUGAUAUUUACAAUGAAUGACCAUUGCCACUGUUUAUUGGUGCAUUAUUGCUGUGUGAAGCCUGUACUGUGAAACUUCAGUUAUUAUUGUGUUGACUGUAACAGUGAGACUGUAGACUACGACCCGGUACUUGUGGUUUCAGUGCGCCAUGACAUCUGGGACUGCGAAUGUCUGAAACUCUAUAAUGCAAAGAGAACUACAUGUAGUGCUUGUUAUUUACCUCAAGUGUGUUUAUUUGAGGAGUGUUUAGAUUUAUGUUACUUUGAUGUUAUAUUGAGAGUUUUCUCGGAUCUACGUGUUUUAAUUUGCUGUAAGUAAAUGGUGGAUACAUCUCAUUAUUCAAGUACCCAAAUUUUGUGAUAUGUUGUUAGUUAUAUGAAAUCUUUAUUGAUGGUUAAUUUAUUUGACUUUUUGCUGGUUGUCCAAGAAAAGAUAUUAGCAAGAGUGAAUUGUUAUCAUUUGGUGUUUACAUUAAUCUUAACUCGGUACUGAUCGAUGAGUUUUUGAAAAUGAGCCAUGAUUAUAUUAAAGUGUUCAAGACUUCAAGAAAGUUAUCUUGAUCAUAUGCAAUGUUUUAGCAAAAAGUGAAAUUUAGUCAACAAGCUCAAAUGUUAAAUUUAGUACUUUUGGAAGUGUGAUAAAAGGUAAUGAAUUUCAAAUCCAGGUUUCACACUAAGGGUAAGAACUCAACAUUUAUCGAAAGUUUUUUUUUAUUGACAAAAUUCCUUUCUACUUUUUCCCCCUCCAAAUCUUCAUCCUUGUUGAAUGUUUUGUAACCCAUUAAAUGGGGAGGUUUUUGCAUUUAUGUGUAUUAUCAUUAAUAUGUACUUAACACAUUUUAUCAAUCAAAGUUUUUUUUUCUGUUACUGUAUUAUUAAAGUGCUUAGAAAUAGUGUACUGUACCUUUGAGAUGGGAGAAAAAUGCUGAAUGUUGAUUUGAGUGCAUGCAUGGUUUGUAAAGAAUGCAAGUCAUUAUAAACAAAAUUAAACAAUAAUAAUAAAGUAAGUUAAAAUAUAAG
rnacentral:sRNA from 1 species